CACGUAGGGACCAAGCGUUGUCCGGAUUUAUUGGGCGUAAAGCGCUCGUAGGCGGUUCGGUAAGUCGGGUGUGAAACCUCUGGGCUCAACCCAGAGACGCCACCCGAUACUGCCGUGACUUGAGUUCGGUAGGGGAGCGGGGAAUUCCUGGUGUAGCGGGGAAAUGCGCAGAUAGCAGGAGGAACACCGGUGGCGAAGGCGCCGCUCUGGGCCGAUACUGACGCUGAGGAGCGAAAGCGUGGGUAGCAAACAGG
rnacentral:rRNA from 1 species